rnacentral:rRNA from 1 species
UGGGGAAUCUUGGACAAUGGGGGCAACCCUGAUCCAGCCAUGCCGCGUGAGUGAUGAAGGCCUUAGGGUCGUAAAGCUCUUUCGCCUGUGAAGAUAAUGACGGUAGCAGGUAAAGAAACCCCGGCUAACUCCGUGCCAGCAGCCGCGGUAAUACGGAGGGGGUUAGCGUUGUUCGGAAUUACUGGGCGUAAAGCGCACGUAGGCGGACCAGAAAGUUGGGGGUGAAAUCCCGGGGGCUCAACCCCGGAACUGCCUCCAAAACUAUUGGUCUAGAGUUCGAGAGAGGUGAGUGGAAUUCCAAGUGUAGAGGUGAAAUUCGUAGAUAUUUGGAGGAACACCAGUGGCGAAGGCGGCUCACUGGCUCGAUACUGACGCUGAGGUGCGAAAGUGUGGGGAGCAAACAGGAUUAG